ACAGAGCCCUUAACCUCUCUCCUCAAACCCUUACCUAAUCUUAAUACACAUUUUGAAGAAGAAGCUCGUCGGAGGAAUGCUUGACCUGAUCCAUCUAAUAUUCCUUUUGAAUUGGGUUUUAUUUUUAUCAUGUUUUGGAUUUUCACAUUUUGGAAUUUUCAUUUACCUUGAAAGAGACUUUGAAUGGAACCAACUAUUUCAUAGGACAGAUGUUUUUGGAUUGUUUUGGAUUUCAUCUCAAAGGAUCGGCUUGAAAUAUUUGACCUCAUUUAUGAGAAGGAUGUGAGUGAGACGUGAAAGAAAAAUUCUGGAAGGAGCGAGACGAUGUAGUUCUGAACAUCCCAGAGAGAGAGAGAGUCAAGAUUGGUGCAGAUUGCAAUGGGCAUGUUGGUGAAGGAAACAGGAGUGAUGAAGAAGUAAAUGGGUCUCAAUAUCAUUGCCCACGUGAGCAUUGAAGUCCCCCACCAGAACGAUUGGAGGACUCCAAAAACGGCGCCGAGCCGGGGAACAAUACCCACACCUGCUCGGCGCUUCUCACCGUGGGCAACUCCAGAGUGGAAGAGAGUCCAACUCCUCUCAAGAGAACUGGUACCAGAGCACAAGCCAUGUGUGGAGGCGAGUCCGACUAUAUCUAGUCGGAACUGCUGACCUCACACACCAGCUCGGGCUCCUUCCCUGCCAGACAGGUGGUGAGCACAUGGGAAGGGGGACCCACUACCAGUACUGGUACAGCUACAAAAUAAAGAUGAAAAAUCAACACUAUCACCUACUGCAAAGGCAAAAUGAAAUAUCAACACUGCUAAUACAACAAGCGGCUCAUUU